UUUGGAACAGGAAAACAAAUCCUGGCCAUUCCCAAAGUUAAUGUAAAGCCAGAAGUGCAGCCCAUCUAUAUUGGAUCAACAACAGGGCAACAGCAUUAACUAAACUAUUACAUCA
rnacentral:lncRNA from 12 species